rnacentral:rRNA from 1 species
AGAGUUUGAUCCUGGCUCAGGACGAACGCUGGCGGGGUGCCUAACACAUGCAAGUCGAACGGGACCGCAGGGUUCAGUGGCGGACGGGUGCGUAACACGUGAGGAACAUAUCCAUCGAUGGGGAUAGCCGGCCCAACGGCCGGGUAAUACCGCGUACGACCUUCGAGUGGCAUCGCUUGAAGGUGAAAGCAGCAAUGCGUCGAUGGGGUGCCUCGCGGCCUAUCAGCUAGUUGGUGAGGUAAUGGCUCACCAAGGCUACGACGGGUAGCUGGUCCGAGAGGAUGACCAGCCACAUUGGGACUGAGACACGGCCCAGACUCCUACGGGAGGCAGCAGUGGGGAAUAUUGCGCAAUGGGGGAAAGCCUGACGCAGCGACGCCGCGUGUGGGAUGAAGGUCUUCGGAUUGUAAACCACUGUCGCGAGGGACGAAGCUCUGACGGUACCUCGAAAGGAAGCACCGGCUAACUCUGUGCCAGCAGCCGCGGUAAUACAGAGGGUGCAAGCGUUGUCCGGAAUCACUGGGCGUAAAGGGCGCGUAGGCGGCUUGGUAAGUAGGGGGUGAAAUCUCACGGCUCAACUGUGAGGCUGCCUUCUAGACUGCCGAGCUUGAGCACAGUAGAGGCUGGUGGAAUUCCCGGUGUAGCGGUGGAAUGCGUAGAGAUCGGGAAGAACAUCUGUGGCGAAGGCGGCCAGCUGGGCUGUUGCUGACGCUGAUGCGCGACAGCGUGGGAAGCAAACAGGAUUAGAUACCCUGGUAGUCC